rnacentral:misc_RNA from 1 species
UUUUCUAUGUUUUGACGGGUGAUGUAAGUUGUUCUGCUUAGUUGAUCAUAAAUCUAGUAAAAGCUUAAGAGGCUGUACUUAAAUGGUUUUCUUCACUCAUUAUUUCUUUAAAUCAUACAAGUUGUUUUGACAGCAUCUUAAUUCAAAGGUGCUGUCUAUUAGGAAUGAUAAUUUAAGAUAUCUGUGCAAAUUUAUGAAGUGGAAUGAAAAUUUGUUGCCUCAAUAUCCUUUGCUCUGAAGUACAAUAUUUGUUUAAAUAUCGUGCUUGACUUAAUUGUUUGGGAUGAAUCACACACUGAUGUCCUUUAACCAUUUACUUUCAUGUUACAAUGUUUGUUUGCUCCUCCUAUUUGACACAAUGGGUUCCCCAUAGUAAAGGUUCUGAAUAUAUUUAAUUUCUUCUUUU